rnacentral:rRNA from 1 species
AUGUGUUGUGUGAUGUGGUUGACAUGGAUGCCGGCCAUGUUCUUCUUGGGAGGCCUUGGCAAUUUGAUGUGGAUACUACACACAAGGGCAAGGAAAAUUCUUACUCUUUCAUUUGGAACAAGAAAAAGACCAUUAUCUUACCAAAAAACCGAAGGUAAUACCUCUAAGGAGGAGAGGAAAACUAUGUUAACUAUCUCCCAUGCCUCUCAUGAGUUUAUGGAAGACUUGAAGGAGGCAGAUUUGUGUGUUGCACUUGUUGUAAAGGGAGAAGAGCACCUGACUGUUGAAAUUCCAGCAAAGGUACGUGGUUUAUUGGCAGAAUUUCAGAACAUACUUGGGGAGCCACAUGGCUUGCCACCGAUGAGAGGAAUUCAACAUAGAAUUGACUUAAUUCCGGGAGCAAGUCUUCCUAAUCUUCCACACUAUCGAAUGAGCCCAAAGGAGCAUGAUAUAUUGAAGGCGAAAGUGGAGGAAUUGUUGCAAAAGGGGCACACGAGAAAGUAUUAG